rnacentral:rRNA from 1 species
AACGAACGCUGGCGGCGUGCCUAACACAUGCAAGUCGAACGGAACGGCCCUGCUUUUUUGCGCUGCUCGAGUGGCGAACGGGUAAGUAACACGUGAGUAACCUACCCUUCACUUUGGGAUAACUUCAUGAAGCUGGGGCUAAUCUCGGAUAGGAUCUCCUGCUGCAUGGUGGGCGUUGGAUCUUUUCGCCGGUUGGGGAUGGACUCGCGGCUUAUCAGCUUGUUGGUUGGCUAGUGGCUGACCAAGGCUCUGACGGGUCGCCGGCAUGAGAGGGUGACCGGCCACAUUGGGCCUGAGAUACGGCCCAGACUCGUACGGUAGGCAGCAGUGGGGAAUAUUGUACAAUGGGAGGGAGCCUGAUGCGGCAACGCCGCGUGCGGGAAGACGGCCUGCGGGUAGUAAACCGCAGUCGCCUGAGACGAAGCGUGAGUGACGGUACUGGGUAAAGAAGCACCGGCUAACUACGUG